UACCCGAGUCGAAAAGGAGGAGAGGACACUUCACAGCCCACUCCGAGCUAAGCGCCCGGGACUGGGCCUUCCCCAGCAAAGGAGGAAAUUAGCAUAUCUAAAGGACUGCUGGGGGUGGGCCGGAUGGGGAGUGUCUGGGGGUAGUGCUGGUCUGGCCAUCUCAGUCCAGGAGCGGCUGUGGCCCAAGAGAUCACCCAGCCCACCGGGCGGCAGGUGCCUCUCUGUCGCGUAGGUGACACAUCAAACAUUUCCCUGAGUUGCCUAAGGCGGAGUCUGGUCUUCCUAUUUUUCACCAACCCAGAACCCUUCUACACUAUCUGCUUUCCAGGGAGGUGCCCACAAGAUGGGACAGCCAGGGUCAGAGGUGGGAGGGCUUGGUGCUCUUGCUAUUAUAUUGCUGUCACAUUAUAAACUGGUAGUUUGGUUUAGUGGUCAUCCACCCUUCCGCCCCAAAGCAGAAGGUCUCUUCCGAGGAUCAUACCCUGGACAGACGUGGAUUCAGGAGGAGGACACCACUUGGGAGGAAGCCCAAAACAGCAAGAGCAGCCUUACCCACCUGUGUUUGUUCUGGCUUCAGAAAAAGCAGAGUGAAUGCCAGGACACUAUGGGAUGGGCGGGAAGCCACCCAUCUGCACAGACUCUGCUAAUGGAUUUGUCACAAUGGAUCCCUUUUGGACUUUUAAAUAAACCACAAAAAGGAUACACUUUGAGCCUUCAUAACAGGCUGAGGGUUGCUCCUUGAAACUGGUGACUUAGCACAUGCCAUCCUAUCUUGAUGUGACAAAGAAUAAAAUACCAAGACCAAGACCACCACCUUGGCG